AAGGACAGGGUGGGGGGUGGGCGGGUGGCUGGUGGAGGCGUGUUGUACUUGAUCCUGAGGGCCAGUGGGGUCCGGUAUUUCUCCACCGGCACCUGCGUCUACAUCCGGGACUGCAGUACUGGGUUAAUACAUGGAAAGAGCACACAAGUCUAUCUGUGCGUCUGUCCACGUGUCACACCCACAGCCAAGAAAGAGAACACGAGCAGCACCCCAGCAGCUCCGCAGACUCGCCCUCCCUCUUCCCCGCAGGUGGCUACUCCUGACUUCACUCCUAAGCUGUCUGUCCUGCUUCUGAGCAGUUCGAACUUGUCUACAGAAGCUCGGACUACAGGAAUUUGCGAGUCUGGGGUCUUUCCCACCACGCUGUCUGUGAGGGUUGUGCACCUCUCCACUGCCUGGUCAGUUCAGUUUCACGGCUGUUCAGUCUACAGGAAGUCAGGGAUCACAAUGAGCUUCCCUCCUGCCGCGGGGGAGCACCUGGGCUGUCUCCAGCCCUGAGGACUUUGGACUCACACCCCUGGGAACAUUCCUGAACAUCUCUGGUUCGCAUAUGCACGCGCUUCUGCAGGGAACACACAUUAAGAGGGGAGCUGCUGAGACACAGUGCAGACAGUUCCAGAUAAUUCCAGAUCCCGACACUGAUGGUAGAUGACCCUCCAUGGUGCGUGACAGCCUCCAGGGCCCAGGCGCUUGCCACCCCCGACACUGCCCUUUUUGAGUGUAGUCAUGCGGGUGUGUGAAGGCAGCCUGCUGUGGCUUAUUCUCCAUUCCCUGAUGCUGAUGGGGCUGAGCGCCUUUUCCUGUGUUUAUGGCCCAUCUGCCAGGUGUCUGUUCAAGUUUCUUGCCCAUCUUUCCAUCGGGCCUGUCUUUUUCUUACUAACCUGCAGGACUUCUCAAAACAUCCUGAUUAUACUACAUUCUCUUGGCCAAUUUCACUCAAUGACCUGACUUUUUGUUCACUUAGUGGUGUCUUUUGAUAACAGACGUUAUUUUAAAUGUAGACCACAUAUCAACAUUUUACUUUUUUCCUUUUUUGGCCGCCCCCUCAGCACAUGGAAGUGCCCGGGCCAGGGAUCGAAUCCAAGUCAGAGCUGUAACCCAUACCACAGGGGUAGCAAGGCUGGAUCCUUAACCCACUGCACCAUGGCGGGAACUCCCACACAAAGGCAGUGCUUCGGGUGUCUUAUGUACUUACUCUCGCCAUUGUAGCGCUCCCCACUAAGCUGUGCACGUUAGCGGAGUACGACCGCUCCCAAGAGUGCUCCUCAUAACUGCAUCUCAUCCUCAGCCACGCACACAGAACAUACACAUGCAUGCACACACAUAACACGCAUAUAACAUUUGCUCACAUACACUGAACAUUUCCAGUCACGUAUCAACAAUCACAGAAAUCAACCUAAGAUUAAACUGUAUUCCCAGAGCUCCUGCUGUGGUGCAAUGGGAUCGGUGGCAUCUUAGGAGCACUGGGACACAGGUUCAAUCCUCAGCCUGAAAUAGUGGAUUAAGGACCCGGCGUUGCAGCAGCCGCAGCCUAGGUGGCAACUGCGGCUUGGAUGUGACCCCUGGCCUGGGAACUCCAUAUGCCGCAAGGAAGACAAUAAAUAAAUAAACUGUAUUCCCAAUGCAAUCUCAUAAAAGGGUGAAAAGAUACAGAGCUAAACCAUUAAGACUGGCAUCAACUUAAGAGAAAAUCACAAGCAGAUAAUUCAAUGGUACAGAUGAAUAAUGCAAAAAAGAUG
rnacentral:lncRNA from 1 species